UUUGAGCUUUUUUUGUUGACACUAUCAGAUCUUGUAUUUCACCUACUGAUCAUGACCCUUCUAAAUCAAUCCUAUGCCCUGCUUCUCUGAAUUGUUUUGUGCCUGUGGCCCUGUCAGCAUUGAUGGAUAUUAUAUCACACAUGAAACCUACCUAUGUAUCUUCAGAUAUUGUCCCCUCUUGUCUUUUGAAAGAGGUAUUUUAUACUAUUGGUCCCAGCCUCUUGUCUGUAAUAAAUAGCUCUCUUAUGAAUGGCACAGUCUCAUCUAGCU